rnacentral:lncRNA from 1 species
CAGAGUUUCGGAUUAUAUAUUAUAAACUCCCUGCUUUUUAUGGAAUUUGAUGACGACUAAAAUAGAGAAAAAAAUUAUGAAAAAUAUUAAAGUAACCGAUAUUUUUAUGUAUAAAUAAAUGGAAUUGUGUGCAACCAAUUUAUUUACCAGCUUAUGGAGCUGGAACACGAGAUAGAAACAUUUUUAAUAAAUUCGGACUUGGGGCUUUCUUGUAUGGCUCUAAAACGAACACCGAGACAAAACUAUCAGCAUAUGUCACCGGAAGAAAUGAAUAAAUUGUUGAGGCUAAAGUAUGAUAAAUAUGAAAAGAAACUAUUCAGAAUAAUUCCACCAAACGUAAACAAAAAUCCUAUUCAUACUCCCCAGAUAUUUUCUCUCUUUUUCAAUCUUAUUUCUAAUCUUAUAUCUACUCGACAGUAAGAACUUUGGUGAAAAGAUGGGCAGAAAGGAGAUGACAAACAGCGAAAAGUAUAAAAAUACUCGUUUAAUGGUGAGAAAAUAAUUACAACUUCAAUAAAAACAUCUCUUUACUAGUUUUAAGAUGUUUUCUCCGUUCAUUAGUUCAGUUGACUGGUAGGGAAAGUCUAGGUCGUUCUUGGAAUCCUAAAUUAGAAAAUUGUUACAACCUUGAACCUUCAUAAAAUCGCCAGUUAGACAGUUAAUAACUGCGUAUUACCUUUGAAUAGAUAUAAAUCUAAAUUUAGAUCUAAUUGGAAUAAAAACGGUUCCAU